UACAGAGGGUGCGAGCGUUAAUCGGAAUUACUGGGCGUAAAGGGCGCGUAGGUGGUUACGUAAGUGAGAUGUGAAAUCCCCGGGCUUAACCUGGGAACUGCGUCUUAUACUGCGUAGCUUGAGUACAUGAGAGGGUAGUGGAAUUUCCGGUGUAGCGGUGAAAUGCGUAGAUAUCGGAAGGAACACCAGUGGCGAAGGCGGCUACCUGGCAUGAUACUGACACUGAGGCGCGAGAGCGUGGGGAGCAAACAGG
rnacentral:rRNA from 1 species